CCUACGGGAGGCAGCAGUGAGGAAUAUUGGUCAAUGGGCGCGAGCCUGAACCAGCCAAGUAGCGUGAAGGAUGACUGCCCUACGGGUUGUAAACUUCUUUUAUGAAGGAAUAAAGUGAGGCACGUGUGCCUUUUUGUAUGUACUUUAUGAAUAAGGAUCGGCUAACUCCGUGCCGGAAGCCGCGGUAAUCCGGAGGAUCCGAGCGUUAUCCGGAUUUAUUGGGUUUAAAGGGAGCGUAGAUGGGUUGUUAAGUCAGUUGUGAAAGUUUGCGGCUCAACCGUAAAAUUGCAAUUGAUACUGGCAGGCUGGAGUACAGUUGAGGUAGGCGGAAUUCGUGGUGUAGCGGUGAAAUGCUUAGAUAUCACGAAGAACUCCGAUGGCGAAGGCAGCUUACUAAACUGCGACUGACAUUGAUGCUCGAAAGUGUGGGUAUCAAACAGGAUUAGAUACCCUUGUAGUC
rnacentral:rRNA from 1 species